AUUUAGAGGAAGGAGAAGUCGUAACAAGGUUUCCGUAGGUGAACCUGCGGAAGGAUCAUUGUCGAUGCCUAAACAUCAAACGACCCGCGAACGAGUUUACAAACUUUCUGUGCCGAGGGAGGGGCAAGCUUCAUUGCCUGCCCCCUCUCUUGGUGCCUAAACAAAACCCCGGCGCAGGUCGCGCCAAGGAACUUAAACGAAUUCGCCUGCCCCCGCCCCGGUCUCCGUGUGUGGGGGUGGAGCAUUCUUGUCGUAUUAUUCACAACGACUCUCGGCAACGGAUAUCUCGGCUCUCGCAUCGAUGAAGAACGUAGCGAAAUGCUAUACUUGGUGUGAAUUGCAGGAUCCCGCGAACCACCGAGUCUUUGAACGCAAGUUGCGCCCGGAGCCUUCUGGCCGAUGAGCGUCGUCCCCAAAGACGAUGCUCUCGACGCGACCCCAGGUCAGGCGGGACUACCCGCU
rnacentral:misc_RNA from 1 species